UACGAGAGGACCGGAGUGGACGCAUCACUGGUGUUCGGGUUGUCAUGCCAAUGGCACUGCCCGGUAGCUAAAUGCGGAAGAGAUAAGUGCUGAAAGCAUCUAAGCACGAAACUUGCCCCGAGAUGAGUUCUCCCUGACCCUUUAAGGGUCCUGAAGGAACGUUGAAGACGACGACGUUGAUAGGCCGGG
rnacentral:rRNA from 1 species